GGCAGUUACAAGCUAAGACAUGUUUUCCCGUCUUCGCAAGCGUUUUGGGAGGGGGAACGUCGAUUGUGGACAGACUAGAGUGAAGGAAUCUGGCCUUUCGUCUCAAAGUAAUGAUGGACAGAGACAGCACUUCUGGGGAAUGUUUAGUCUCAGAAAGUGCAAGAGAGCUGGAAUUGGACACACAGCAGUAAGAGAGCUUCCUGAAGAAUAAGUUGCUUUCUCACGUGUCCCUGAUGACAAACAUCCUGAACGAAAACAUCACUUGAGAGACAACUUGGGGGACCGCCUUUCAUUAUGUGUGCUAGAGGAGAAACAGCAAUACAUCUGUGCUUCUAAAUGUUCGUUAAGAAUAUGCUGUUUAGAAAUAUUUUUGUUAUGAUUUUAAUUGAAGUUUUCUUUUUGUUGUUUCAUAUUUAUAUG
ensembl:lncRNA